CACACAUUCACCCUAAAUAUUUCAGGGUUUAACAGGGAUACGAGAGGGUGGGUGGGUCUGAGAGCAGAUGAAAUAAGGGGUGAGGAAGUAUCCUGUGCCGCAACCACGUUAUCCACAGAGUUCUGUUUUAUUCUGCAGAUGAACACAGCCACACGAUUUCAGGCUGGCUGGCUUGGAAGAAGACUCCCAGAGAGCAUGAGGAAUACAAAGGAAGCAAGCAGGGUCAUUGCUCUCCAGCUCCAAGGUCACACCCAGCCUUGGCAACCUGGGGCUGGUGGAAAAGCUGUCCAGCUUCUCCUCUCUGGGCCUGGUUCGCCAGGCUUUUGUGCAGCGGCCGUGACCAGAAGUUCGUGAUUCCCGUGCCAGCAGUGUCCACCGGGCUGCUGGGCGGAAGCUGCACCGGCCUGCUUUUGUUAAUGUUAAAGGCUUGGAUAAGGAUGUUUUGUUAAAAGCUUGAAUAAGGAUGAAUUUUUUUUAAAACUUAAAAAUUUGAGAUUAGCUGUCACUAUGUGAGAGUUAAGCUGGUCAGCUUGAUUGGUUUAAGAAUGCUCAGGGUAACAGCAAAGCACACAUCUGGGUGUGUCUGGGUAGGUCAUGGAGGCAUGACCUUGGGGACUAUAUGUGGUCCCUGGCCUCUUCCUCUCUGCUACUAUUUUCUGCUUUGUGUCCCAGCCACCAUGAACUGAGCACUUUUGCUCUACCAGGCCCUUCUGCCAUGUUUCUGCCUUAGAGCCAGCCAACCAUGGACCAAAUCCCCAGAAAUUGUGAGCCAAAUUAAACCUCUCCUCUUAAAUUGUGGGUAUCAAGUAUUGUAACAGUCAGUAUUUACUAGAGAAACAAAUGCAACACAAGAUAUACAAAUUUUGGACCUCGUCCCCGAAUUAGAUUCGCGACAAACUCCCAAAGCAUGACACAGUCCUGGGGUCUUACUGGAGAACUUUAUUUUCUGGCCAGGA
rnacentral:lncRNA from 1 species